AUGAAGCAAGGGUGGGCAAGGCCCU
rnacentral:piRNA from 1 species